GAGAGAGAGAUGUUAGUGCUGAUAAAACAUCUGAACAGCGUGCUCUGCUUGUGGAAUCUAGAAGCAAAGUCAAAUGGUGGAUGACAUGGAUGAGGAUCUUGAUGAAGAUGAUUUUGGUGCAAAGGGUUCUGCUUCUGUAGAGCAUGAAUCUGAUGAUGAGAUCGUUGAAUCUGACAUUGAACUUGAAGGAGAAACUGUAGCACCUGAUGAUGAUCUGCCACAAAAGAUGGGAGACCCAUGUAUUGAGGUAACAGAGGAAAGUCGUGAUGCCUCUCAAGAGGCUAAAGGGAAAGCU